UCGGUUGAUCCUGCCGGAGGUUACUGCUAUCGGAGUUCGAUUAAGCCAUGCGAGUCUAAAGGUUUCUUCGGAAACCUUGGCGGACUGCUCAGUAACACGUGGAUAACCUACCCUUGGGACUGGAAUAACCCCGGGAAACUGGGGAUAAUACCGGAUAGAUCAGGGAUGCUGGAAUGCACCUUGAUCCAAAGCUCCGGCGCCCAAGGAUGGGUCUGCGGCCUAUCAGGUAGUAGUGGGUGUAACGUACCUACUAGCCAACGACGGGUACGGGUUGUGAGAGCAAGAGCCCGGAGAUGGAUUCUGAGACACGAAUCCAGGCCCUACGGGGUGCAGCAGGCGCGAAACCUUUACAAUGUGCGAAAGCAUGAUAAGGGAACUCCGAGUGCCAGCAUCUAAUGUUGGCUGUCCUUGUGCCUAAAACGCACAAGAUAGCAAGGGCCGGGUAAGACCGGUGCCAGCCGCCGCGGUAACACCGGCGGCCCGAGUGGUAGCCGCUAUUAUUGGGUCUAAAGGGUCCGUAGCCGGUUCGAUAAGUCCUCUGGGAAAUCUGGUUGCUUAACAAUCAGACUGCCAAGGGAUACUGUCGAACUUGAGACCGGGAGAGGUAAGAGGUACUUCAGGGGUAGGAGUGAAAUCUUGUAAUCCCUGGGGGACCAUCUGUGGCGAANGCGUCUUACCAGAACGGGUCUGACGGUGAGGGACGAAAGCUGGGGGCGCAAACCGGANUAGAUACCCGGGUAGUCCCAGCCGUAAACGAUGCUCGCUAUGUGUCNNNACGGUGUGACCGUAUCUGGUGCCGUAGGGAANCUGUGAAGCGAGCCACCUGGGAANUACGGCCG
rnacentral:rRNA from 1 species